rnacentral:rRNA from 1 species
UAAUCACCUGUCUAUUAAUUGUAGACCCGUAUGAAUGGCAAAAUGAGGAUCUAACUGUCUCUUAUAGUAAGUCAAUUAAACUGAUCUCCCAGUCCAAAAGCUGGAAUAUAAACAUAAGACCAGAAGACCCUGUGAAGCUUAAACUAAACUAUUAAAUCGCAUAAUACCUCCUUUCGGUUGGGGCGACCUUGGAAACAAAAAGAACUUCCACAUACAUAACAUUCACAACAACACAGGCAAACAAGCCAAAAAAGACCCAGCACAGCUGAUUAUUGAACCAAGUUACUCCAGGGAUAACAGCGCCAUCUUCUUCAAGAGCCCAUAUCAAAAAGAAGGUUUACGACCUCGAUGUUGGAUCAGGACAUCCUAAUGGUGCAGCCGCUAUUAAGGGUU